rnacentral:rRNA from 1 species
GAGUUUGAUCAUGGCUCAGAUUGAACGCUGGCGGCAUGCCUUACACAUGCAAGUCGAACGGUAACAGGUCUUCGGAUGCUGACGAGUGGCGAACGGGUGAGUAAUACAUCGGAACGUGCCCCGAUCGUGGGGGAGUACGGAGCGAAAGCUUGUCUAAUACCGCAUACGAUCUACGGACUGAAAGACAGGGGACCGGCCGAAGG